rnacentral:rRNA from 1 species
UACGUAGGGUGCAAGCGUUGUCCGGAAUUAUUGGGCGUAAAGAGCUCGUAGGCGGUUUGUCGCGUCUGCUGUGAAAACGCGAGGCUCAACCUCGCGCCUGCAGUGGGUACGGGCAGACUUGAGUGCGGUAGGGGAGAUUGGAAUUCCUGGUGUAGCGGUGGAAUGCGCAGAUAUCAGGAGGAACACCGAUGGCGAAGGCAGAUCUCUGGGCCGUUACUGACGCUGAGGAGCGAAAGCGUGGGGAGCGAACAGG